GGGGCCGUAGUCUAGCCAGGUCUUGCGGGUACUUGACCCGUGAGUAGCAAACAAGGCACCAGCCUGCGGAGUUGGUUGUCCCCGGUUCGAAUCCGGGCGGUCCCGCCA
rnacentral:tRNA from 1 species